rnacentral:rRNA from 1 species
UACAGAGACUGCAAGCGUUGUUCGGAAUCACUGGGCGUAAAGCGCACGUAGGCGGAUUUGCCAGUCAGGGGUGAAAUCCCGGGGCUCAACCUCGGAACUGCCUUUGAUACAGCAAGUCUUGAGUUCGAGAGAGGUGGGUGGAAUUCCUAGUGUAGAGGUGAAAUUCGUAGAUAUUAGGAAGAACACCGGUGGCGAAGGCGGCCCACUGGCUCGACACUGACGCUGAGGUGCGAAAGCGUGGGGAGCAAACAGG